CCCUUAGAUGUUCUGGGCUGCACGCGCGCUACACUGAUGCGCUCAACGAGUUUACGACCUUGCCCGGAAGGGUUGGGUAAUCUUUUUAAAACGCAUCGUGAUGGGGAUAGAUUAUUGCAAUUAUUAAUCUUUAACGAGGAAUUCCUAGUAAGCGCGAGUCAUCAGCUCGUGCUGAUUACGUCCCUGCCCUUUGUACACACCGCCCGUCGCCCCUACCGAUUGAAUGAUCCGGUGAAUAAUUCGGACUGCAGCAGUGUUCAGUUCCUGAACGUUGCAGCGGAAAGUUUAGUGAACCUUAUCACUUAGAGGAAGGAGAAGUCGUAACA
rnacentral:rRNA from 1 species